rnacentral:rRNA from 1 species
AGUGAACGCUGGCGGUAGGCCUGACACAUGCAAGUCGAACGGCAGCACAGUAAGAGCUUGCUCUUACGGGUGGCGAGUGGCGGACGGGUGAGGAAUACAUCGGAAUCUACUUUUUCGUGGGGGAUAACGUAGGGAAACUUACGCUAAUACCGCAUACGACCUACGGGUGAAAGCAGGGGAUCUUCGGACCUUGCGCGAUUGAAUGAGCCGAUGUCGGAUUAGCUAGUUGGCGGGUAAAGGCCCACCAAGGCGACGAUCCGUAGCUGGUCUGAGAGGAUGAUCAGCCACACUGGAACUGAGACACGGUCCAGACUCCUACGGGAGGCAGCAGUGGGGAAUAUUGGACAAAGGGCGCAAGCCUGAUCCAGCCAUACCGCGUGGGUGAAGAAGGCCUUCGGGUUGUAAAGCCCUUUUGUUGGGAAAGAAAAGCAGCAGGUUAAUACCCCGCUGUUCUGACGGUACCCAAAGAAUAAGCACCGGCUAACUUCGUG